CUCAGUGCCAUGUCCUGGGGAUGGCUCACAAGCUGCAGCCCUGCUCAGCAAGAGGGAAAGCAGCAAACCUGAGCGUCCCACUGUUCGUGCCUACGUCUCCAGUGCUGAGCAGAGUCGUAAUGCCGAGGAUGAAAACGCUGAUAACAUAAACAGUCGGUACGAAAAGGUGUCAUCUAUAUGACUACUGAAACAAUUUUCAAGUGCAGCCCUACAAGUCAAAGCCCUGUGUCAAAGAAUACUGCAAGAGAAGCCAACUCUGAGGAAUGGUAAUGAAGGGGGCACGUGCUGGGACACCAUAUGUGCUGUACAAACAAGACCCCUCUCAGCUGCUGCAUCUCUCAGCUCCCUUCAGCCUCUCACAAAUUAAGUCCAGCUGAUUGCCAACUGCAGCUGCAACAGCAAGCAAGUUCUUUAUCAGGACUUCUCUAUUAGUAGCUACGGGCAACCAACCUUGGAGCUCUGCCUGCUCUCCUACCUGCAGAGCACAGCUGGAGCUGACAUGGGUUUUACCCUGAAUGUGGGACAAUCAGAAGUCAUCGACUCUUUUCCUAAAGAGCUGUAAGUCUUCCUUCCACAGGAAAGCAUCCUGGGUGCCUCAGCCUAGAGGGCUCAAUCGUCAAAGCCACUGUAACUUCACUACUGACCAGCAAAUUACUGGUGUGGAUGCAGGACAUGCAUGAACACACAUGGGAAAAAAAUGAGCCUCCACAGCCAGGAAACUGGGACACCCACCUGAGGGUGGGGAAUCCUCCAUUUUGGUCACCAAAUGGAGCAUGGAAGCAAUCAUAUGAGCAGGAGCAAGAACACCAGUCCUUUUCUUACCAGUCAUGAAAAACAAAAUAAAACAAAACUUUAUACAUUGAAAAAAAAAUCUCUAACAUGGAAGGAAGGACAUGGGCAGUAGCCAAGUAAUUGUGCUAUUGCCUUGCAGCAAGAUAAAAAUGUGAAUUUGAACAGAGGAGACAGGUAACUGAAUUAAUUUGUCUCAAAAGUCAGCAACCCUCUUGCAGUCUAGAGAAUGCCAAAGUUUAACACUAGGGUCUGGAUUCCACUCAGAGACCCAAAUAUCUGCAGUCCACCAAAGUCCUCUGACAGACUUUUACAUAGCUACUUCUUCUCCCAAAGUGCUGCUUUCCCCUCAAGUUAAGUGGUUCAUAUCACCCCAAUAAGCUCAUUAUAACCAACUACGCUGGUACUUUCUGCAUAGCUUCUGACAUUCUUGUCUGCUGAAACUCCUCUGACCUUGGGGCUGUAUCCCACGGAUCCUGCUUUAAUCCACCCCUACAUUUUUCCUUAAUGAGGUUCAUAUACCCCUAUGCACCAUACACAAACACA